GCUGGGUAUGGUGGUGCAUGCCCGUAGUCCCAGCUACUCAGGAGGCCGAGGCAGGAGAAUUGCUUGAACCUAGGAGGCCAGAGGUUGCAGUGAGCUGAGAUGGCGCCACUGCACUCCAGCCUGGGCAACAGAGUGAGACUCUGUCUCAA
rnacentral:SRP_RNA from 1 species